GUCACUGACCCCCGACUAAAGUACGUGGGCUUGCCUGGUCUCAGCCAGGAGCUAAGGAGUGACUAGACCAUGAGCUACAGACAGUUUCGUACUUCCGGGUAUUUCCCUAGCUCGGAUAAUCUACA
rnacentral:sRNA from 20 species